GGCUGGUCUGAAGGUAGUGAGUUAUCUCAUUUGAUUGUUCACAGUCAGUUACAGAUUGAGCUCCUGUUCCACUACUUUCCCCCCUCGUCACUACUGUAUUUGACUAGUCUUAA
ensembl:misc_RNA Y_RNA Y RNA